UACGUAGGGUCCAAGCGUUAUCCGGAAUUACUGGGCGUAAAGAGUUGCGUAGGUGGCAUGAUAAGCGAAUAGUGAAAUGACGAGGCUCAACCUUGUGUCCAUUAUUUGAACUGUCAAGCUAGAGAAUGAGAGAGGUCACUGGAAUUCCCUGUGUAGGAGUGAAAUCCGUAGAUAUAGGGAGGAACACCGAUGGCGUAGGCAGGUGACUGGCUCAUUUCUGACACUAAGGCACGAAAGCGUGGGGAGCAAACGGG
rnacentral:rRNA from 1 species